GGGGUCGUUACGGAAUCGACUGGUAUUGUUCGAGCUAGUACUGCGUUUAGGGGUUGUGGCCCUAUAAUCCACUCAGACGAAUUAACUGCAAAAAAUUCAAACAAUAUGGCUGUCGCUGCUUAAAAACCAGCACACCUAACUAGUUGGCGUUUUAGUCACAAAUGUCGAUUAGUCAUCAUAAUGUGACUUGCGUGUAACUCUUCCACCUGGAGUGGUUGCAAAGAGGAUAAUCAGGUUAGCAGAAAUGAUCGCGACGUUGAUUAGCGUGCAUGAUGCGAAAAUUAAAUCAAUCAACUAUGAACGUAGAUGUAUUAGUGGCGAAAUAUUAGGACAGGGGUUCAACUCCCCUCGGCUCCAUAU
rnacentral:tmRNA from 1 species